UUUGUUCCUUGUUUCUUUGUU
rnacentral:piRNA from 1 species